CCUACGGGAGGCAGCAGUGGGGAAUUUUGCGCAAUGCUCGUAAGAGUGACGCAGCGACGCCGCGUGAAUGACGAAGGCCAUCGGGUCGUAAAGUUCUUUCGACAGGGAAGAAACUGCCUAUAAGUAACUGUGUAUGUAUUGACGGUACCUGUAUAAGCAGCCCCGGCUAACUCCGUGCCAGCAGCCGCGGUAAUACGGAGGGGGCGAGCGUUGUUCGGAGUGACUGGGCGUAAAGAGCACGUAGGCGGUGUUGUAAGUCAUUAGUCAAAGACUAGAGCUCAACUUUAGUAAGGCUAGUGAUACUAUAAUACGAGAGUAUCAGAGAGGAUGGCAGAAUUCCUGGUGUAGCGGUGAAAUGCGUAGAUAUCAGGAGGAAUACCGUUAGCGAAGGCGGCAAUCUGGCUGGAAACUGACGCUGAGGUGCGAAAGCGUGGGUAGCAAACAGGAUUAGAUACCCGUGUAGUC
rnacentral:rRNA from 1 species